GGAAGGAUAAAGGAAGUCUGACUCACAGUGGGAGGCAGAGGAGGAUGGAGCUAUUGAAAGAACAGGAACAGGUAAAUCAUAUCUAUGGAAUGAUCAAGUCAAUCUUCUCUUAAUCCACACAUCAUAAAGUGGAAAUGUAUGGAAGCCCAUCUGUAUGGGAGGUUGCAUGACUUCUUCCAGCACCUGAUGGAAGAAUCUGAGGGGCCUCUGGUGUGUUGAGUUGUUGGCGGACAAAGAAAGAAGUGCAAUGACCCAUGGAGGCAGGGGACGAGAAGAUUUUGGGAGACACUUGUUCUGGCUGCCGUACGUAACAAGAAGCGGAUGUAAUUCUAAUUCCAGUUAGGUUUGGAUUUUUGAGGCACCAGGUCUGUUCAAUGUGCCCUGUGUACACCUAAUAACAAGCAGCUCAUAACCGUAACCUGGGUUAAGCUACCAGCUAAGAAUAAGAAGCACCAGGAAACAAACGAAAGCAAACCUAAAGCAGCCUGCUUAUCACAUAGUGACUACCGAAUAACGCAAAUAUUAGCAAAGCACGGCAGAAGAAAGGAGACAGGGACUGCAAUCCAGCUGGAGCGGUACUGAUUCAAACCUGAGGAAAAGUGGGUCAGGACUGACAUCUGCUGGUCUGGUUAAUGAGAUGUUGCCCAUGGAAUCCAGAUCCUCAGAGAACAAAUCACUGAUGCUCUGUGACUGGGGGAGGCAGGGACUUGGCUUCUCUGGGAAGCCAUCCCAUCUGUAAAGUGGCCAACCCUCUAGCAAAGCCUCCCUUUCUUUCUCUUCGAUGUUUUGCCCUGGUAACCAGGUAUGUUUUCCUAAGCAUCUCUAAGCAAGGAGAGAAUGUUGUGCCGGUGGAUUCCACUUAGAGAGCCAGUCUUACAAAAGAAGGUGGUCAACUGGUGCUAAGAAGUUUGAACAGGAAUUCCAAGGUUUUAUCAGAAGAUUCACUGGAUCAAAUUACUUUUAAAGGGUAAUUUCUAGUCCAAAUACUGACUGAUAGGCUAUCAACUUGGAGCACAUUCACUUUUAGGAUAUAAUGAAUUAAUUAGAUUUGAUUUCUACCCAUCUCUCUUCCACCAGAACCUUUUUGCAAUAGGAACUUGACUUGCUGCACAGACCCUGGACUUGUGACAUUGUAUCCUCAUGAGGCCUUGUUUCCAUUCUCUGGAUUUUUUUUUUUAAGAAGGUGGGGCCAGGCUGAUAGACUGGCUGUCCUUGAACGCACAGAGAUGUGCCUGCCUUUGCCUCCCCGAAUCCUGGUAUUAAAGGCACGUGCCACCGCACCCAG